CCUACGGGCGGCAGCAGUGAGGAAUAUUGGUCAAUGGACGGAAGCCUGAACCAGCAAUGCCGCGUGCAGGAAGACGGCUCUAUGAGUUGUAAACUGCUUUUGUACAAGGGAAAACCUGAAUAAGGAUAUUCAGCUGAAAGUACUGUACGAUUAGGGAAAGGCUAACUCCGUGCCAGCAGCCGCGGUAAUACGGAGGAUCCAAGCGUUAUCCGGAUUUAUUGGGUUUAAAGGGUGCGUAGGCGGAUUGAUAAGUUAGAGGUGAAAUGUACGGGCUUAACUCGGGAAGUGCCUCGCAGACUGUUGAUCUAGAGGGUAGAUGCGGUAGGCGAAAUGUAUGGUGUAGCGGUGAAAUGCUUAGAGUACAUACGGAACACCGAUUGCGAAGGCAGCGUACC
rnacentral:rRNA from 1 species